rnacentral:rRNA from 1 species
AUGCUCCGGCUACGAAGCUCCAUCAUCGCCCGUCUCCUCUCUUCUUCUCCAGCCACCUCUCCCGCAUCCCCUCUCCGCCGCCUCCUCUCUGUCUCUGCCGUAGCGCCCGCAAUCUCCCCAAGCGCCAGAUUCGCCGCGGAGGACUACCUCGUCGCCACCUGCGGCCUCACCCGACCUCAGGCCCUCAAGGCCGCCCCGAAGCUCUCCCACCUCAAAUCCCCCACCAAUCCCGACGCCGUCCUCGCCUUCCUCGCCGGUCUCGGCCUCUCUGGUGCCGAUGUCGCUGCCGUCGUCGCCAAGGACCCGCAGCUCCUCUGCGCCAAGGUGGAGAAAACCCUGGGCCCCAAUGUCGCGGAGCUCACCGGCCUCGGCCUCUCGCGCCCUGAGAUCGCGCGCCUCGUCCCGCUCGCCGGCGCCACUUUCCGCUGUAGAUCCAUCAUCUCCGGGCUGCAGUACUGCUUGCCCCUCUUCGGGUCCUCCGAGAACCUCCUUCGAGCUCUCAAGAGUGGCUCUGUUCUCGGCGCCGACCUCGAGCGGGUGGUCAAGCCCAAUGUCACCUUCCUGCAGGAGUGCGGGCUAGGUGUUUGCGAUAUUGCCAAGCUCUACGUGAUUAGGCCAUCGCUGCUCAGCAUCAGCACGGAACGCAUCCGGACAGCAGUGGCCUGCGCCGAAGGUCUUGGUGUACCCCGUAGGUCUCAGAUGUUCAGACAUGCGCUACAAGCUGUUGCAUUCCUCAGCGAGGAGAAAAUCGCCGCCAAAGUGGAGCACCUGAAGAAAGCGUUCAGGUGGUCGGAUGCCGAGGUGGGCAUUGCUUUUUCUAAGGCUCCAGCGUUGCUCAUGAGGGCUAAGGAAUCGCUGCAGCGCAGGUCCGAGUUCCUCAUCUCCGAGGUGGGCUUGCAACCGGCUUACAUUGCUCAACAGCCGGCAAUUGUCUGUUACAGCCUAGAGGGCCGGCUCAGGCCCCGGUACUAUGUUGUAAAGUUUCUCAAGGAAAAUGGAUUGCUCAUGCGUGACCCGAGCUACAGUACUGUUUUCAAGAAGGCUGAGAAGGUGUUCAGGGAGAAGUUCAUAUGCCCUUACAAGGAAGCUGCACCACACCUCGAAGAAGACUAUGAUGCUGCUUGUAAAGGGGAAAUGGCGGCUAAUUUCAGAUUCACAUGA